UUGUAAUACCCCGACUUUAAUUAAUAGAAGAAACAUUAAUUAGAGUGAAUAUUGUUAUGGACUUGAGGAAAAGUGGUAAGGAAAGUGAGAGUUAAUGUUAUGGGAGACAACCAGUAAAUGAAAAGAGAAGUAGUAAUGGCACUAUUGUGAAUCUGAACAAAUGCAAGGAUUAUAAGUAUGUGAAUAACAAAUAGUACAUGGGCCCCUUAGCACUACAACUCUCAUUGUUCUCUCACUCACCUUGUAGCAAACACUUCUCAAUCUUCUCUCUCACGCUGCCAACAACAACACAAUACCUCCAUUUGCAAAGAAAUUCUUACAUGUGUAUUCUUAACAAAACUCAUUCCCAAAGAAGUCAUGAGAGGAAAGGACAAGUUGAAAGCUUCCUGUUUUGGCCGAAUCACUUCCUAUGUCUUAACAGAUCUCAUUUUCUCACCCAAUUCCUCAUGACUUGAUUCAUGCAUGUGUUCAAUUGGUACUUUAGUACAUCUUCUGAGUGGGUUAAGACUUAAGGUGAGAAUCACUAAACUCUUAUCUUCCCUUCUGACCUUUCGAUUCCCAUUUUUGUAUCAAGAGGGUUUACAAGAUUCAAUUACUUUCAUUUUUGGUACUUGCAUGUAAGAUUCCAAGGAGAAAAGAUCAUGGCUAUAUGAGUAGAAGUUGAAAGAUCAAAGAUUAAGGAGGAUGGGAACUUGCAGAAGAUUGAAAAUAUUUAUGGAAAUUCAUAUGCUGGAUGUACCCUCACUAAAAUGGUCGUACCUCUCUCUGUGUUGGUCCAAAUUUAACCAUUCUUGAUGUUCUGGAUAGCUAACGUAAUCCCGGUCGUUUAGGUACCAGCCUAGUGGGAUUUAAUGGAGAAAUGAGGUCUCUGCGAAUUAUUGAAGUGAAGGGUUCAACACAAAAUUUAUGCAGAAAGUGUUUGGGAUUGGGCUGCACUCAAACGGUAAAUUAUUCCUCUCUGUAACUCCGUUUGAAUUUAUUCUGAUUGCUAUGGAAAGCUAACUCAAACACGGUUGUUAUGGUCCCGGUUUCAUAAGUUAUGAACGAGAAUUGUGGCCAGUAGGUAUUUUUGAAAUUGGAACUCUGAUGCUGAUAUUAUGCAGAAAAAUCUGCACACGAGUUUGGAGUAGUUUCGUUGCAAAUUCCGCUUUUCGAUGAGUUUCGGAAAUGUCGGUGGUACUGUUCAAGCUUCGAUUUCAGAUAAACAGGUUGAUCAAGAUAUCAUGGUCUGCAAGAAUGAAGUUCAGAUACUUGGAUUAUUCUAGUUGAGCUGACGUCAUGUUAUCUUAUAUUUGUAUAAGAUUUAGUUUCUUUAUGUUUUCAGUUGUUAGCUCAAUUUAGUAUUAAUCUCUUGGAUUUUGGAUUUUGUAAUCCUAUUUAUGUAUUCGGACAAUAUGUAAUGAAAAUUUAAUGUUUCCCGAUUCAGUUA